rnacentral:rRNA from 1 species
GCUCCAAUAGCGUAUAUUAAAGUUGUUGCAGUUAAAUAGCUCGUAGUUGAAUUUUGGGCUGGGUUGGUCGGUCUCGCCGCAAGGUGAGCACUGGUCCGACCUGGUCUUUCCUUCUGGGGAUCCAUCGUGCUCUUUACUGAGUGCGGUGGGGAACCAGGACUUUUACUUUGAAAAAAUUAGAGUGUUCAAAGCAGGCGUUU